GACGAACCUGUGCGAACGUUAUUCGGAAUCACUGGGCUUAAAGGGCGCGUAGGCGGGCUGCCAAGUCAGGGGUGAAAGCCCACGGCUCAACCGUGGAAGUGCCUUUGAUACUGGCAAUCUCGAGGGAGGUAGGGGCGUGCGGAACUUCCGGUGGAGCGGUGAAAUGCGUAGAUAUCGGAAGGAACACCGGUGGCGAAAGCGGCGCGCUGGACCUCUUCUGACGCUGAGGCGCGAAAGCCAGGGGAGCAAACGGGG
rnacentral:rRNA from 1 species